AAAUUCUCAAAAUUUUCAAAACAAAUAAUUCUACUCUCAAUUCCGAACUUUAUCGUUUCCAUCCCACAAAGCAGCUCCAAUUUUUUCUUGCAGUGCUUGGACUGCAUUUUGAGUGAGGCUUUUUGUACAACGUUUGGCAGCUCCUGUCCCAGCUUCAGUUCCAGCCGCUAUGUUCGUCGACGCUUGAGCUCCAAUUGAUGCUGUGGUCACGCUUUAUUUUCAUUGCAGUCUCCCGGGUGCAAUACUGUGCAAUGCACUGACCCCCGGCCUCAAACCGUCCCGGCCCAUCCCGAGCCGUCUCUUGCUUUGAAGUGCCUGCGGCGUGGUGUGUGUGUGUGUGUGUGAGUCCUGGGAGCCCUCUUUCUGUUUCUGCUUCUGGUGCCCCAAAAUGCUAUCCAGUGCAGUCUUUAUUAGGCCUGAAACGCAGCUAAACAUCAAUUACUUAAGCUUUGUGCCGCACCAGAAUCAGAACUAGAACUGGAACCCCAAACACCAAAGCGAACUUUUGCCGGGCGAAACGGCGAAAAAGAGCCGCUGGCAAGUGCAUCGAAUGGCAGUUUUUUUAAGCCUCACAAAUGACGCUGUCAACCGAACAGAAUGCCAUCAAUCAUGAAGCAAACUCCACCAAAAACCCGCCGCAUAAGCUGCACAAUUCAGUAUGUUAU
rnacentral:lncRNA from 1 species